UACGAAGGGUGCAAACGUUGCUCGGAAUCAUUGGGCGUAAAGCGCACGUAGGCGCCUUGCAAGUCGGAUGUGAAAUCCCACGGCUCAACCGUGGACGUGCAUCCGAAACUGCUCGGCUCGAGUAUGGAAGAGGGUCGCGGAAUUCCCGGUGUAGAGGUGAAAUUCGUAGAUAUCGGGAGGAACACCAGUGGCGAAGGCGGCGCCUGGGCCAAUACUGACGCUGAGGUGCGAAAGCGUGGGGAGCAAACAGG
rnacentral:rRNA from 1 species